AAUAUAUGUGAUUUUAAUAAAAACCAUGUAUUACUAAAAAAUAAGAAUAUAUUUUUAAAGAAAUCAUGUGUGAUCUUAAUAAAAAACGUGUAUUACUACAAAAUAUCAUGAUAAAAAGAGAUAUUAAACUGAAUAGAAUGUUUUUUCCAAAAAAUACCAUGUGCUUUUUAUAAAUACUAUGUAAUAAGAGAAAAUAACAAGAUAAAAAGAGGAUAUUAUGUUAUCGCAUGUAUUUCAGAAAAAUAACAUGUUACAAAGGACAUUUACGUAAUUACACGUGUUCUCCAACAUGUUUCCGACAAGAUAUUAUGACUCAAGGUUAGUUUGUACAUUCUUUUCAAAUCUAUAGUCAUUUAUUAUAAAUACUCUUAAAUAUAUUAA
rnacentral:sRNA from 1 species